UUCUAUGUGUAAGGGGAAAACGGUGACAGAUUAUUGAAUGAAUAAAGAACAUGGCACAUCUCCAACUGUUAAUUAGACCAACUAAUUACAAAAGAAGGUUUUAGCUAUACUGCACUACUCUAAUUUCCAGAAUUACCAAAUGCAGGAUGCAAUCUAUGUUAAUCAGGAAACAGCUGCUUGAGAGAUGGCGGGUAAAGUAAAGCUGCAGGAUACCAAAACACAAACAAUUAACAUAAGAUAUAGAAGCCAACUGCUGUGUGUGUCAACCCUGAUCAAAUCACAAUAACAAAGGGAUUGUAAUGAGCUAAUCAGCCCUAUUGCAAACAUUGUUAUCUGCAAGGGUUUUCAAAAUCUUAGGUUUUGUUGUUCCAU